rnacentral:rRNA from 1 species
CAGCCGCCGCGGUAAUACGUAGGGUGCGAGCGUUAAUCGGAAUUACUGGGCGUAAAGCGGGCGCAGACGGUUACUUAAGCAGGAUGUGAAAUCCCCGGGCUCAACCUGGGAAUUGCGUUCUGAACUGGGUGGCUAGAGUGUGUCAGAGGGGGGUAGAAUUCCACGUGUAGCAGUGAAAUGCGUAGAGAUGUGGAGGAAUACCGAUGGCGAAGGCAGCCCCCUGGGAUAGCACUGACGUUCAUGCCCGAAAGCGUGGGUAGCAAACAGGAUUAGAUACCCCAGUAGUCCCUGUCUCUUAUAC